CCUCUCUUCACUCAUUGCUGUUAAAUAAUUGUCCAGGCAUAGUAUCCUUUCCAGAAGGAGGUCUUCCCACCAACUUGACAUCACUUUAUAUUUGUCAUCUCAAGAUCUGUAAACCAUUGUUUGAAUGGGGUUAGCACAGACUCACAUCUCUUACAGAACUUCAUAUUCUUGAAUGUGCUGAUGUGGUGUCCUUUCCUGAUGAUGAGAUAGGAAUGAUGUUGCCUACUUCUCUUACCCACCUGUCCCUUGGAGAAUUUGCAAAUCUGGGAUACCUCUCCACCAAGGGGUUUGAAAACCUUGCCUCACUUGAAUAUCUCUGUGUCUAUGAUUGCCCCAAGCUUGCCUUCCUUCCAAAGAAUGGUCUCCCUUCCUCACUUAUGAAACUGUAUAUCAAUAAUUGUCCUCUGUUAAAAGAGAGGUGCCAGAAUGGCAACAGACCAGAGUGGUUCAAGAUAGCCAACAUUCCCCACAUCAAGAUGGAUAAUAGAUCGUAGAUGUCUUUCACACUGAAAAUGGCCCUGAACUGAAGAAGAAAAUAGUAGUGAACCUGUGGACAGAGAAUGGAAGAAUUAUAGCUGGUAUUGGUUUCAGUCUAGGCCAGGGACCG
rnacentral:misc_RNA from 1 species